rnacentral:lncRNA from 1 species
CCGUAACCGUAAGACGUGUCGCUUUCUUGUUCACACUUUGUAUCGGUGUCAUGAAUAUCUAUCCAGAACUCACCCUAUUAGUCGAAAUAUUUUGUCGGUUCGGAGUAAUCCCUCCGAAACCAAAAAACCUUGUUAUCGUUCCAACACCGUAACCAUAAUAGGUAGAAAAAAAACAAAGGCUGAAAUUUGUUCAGGACCAGAGGUCGGUUCUUCGUUACAUUUGGAUCGAAAAGAUUCAACGACUCAUUGGUAGAGUUAUGCCCCUAUGAAAAUUAACCGGUGUCGGUGGACCACCAAAACUCAGAAACCGUAAGUCGUAGAGACCUAGGAUCUUCACCAAUCAUCAUCAAUUCAUGUAUCUUUGAAAAAAACCUCAAGGUCAAAUUUGUAUGUUGACCUUGACCUUUGACCUAACACCUUGUUAUGGGAUAAUCUCAGAAACCAUUAUACUUACAGAAGUUUUACAUAGUGGAAAAUAUUUGAGUCAUUAUGGCGCAACUUUGUUACAUUUUGACCAAAGAGAUUUGACCUUUCUAUAAGGGGCAUAACCCCUGUUUUAGGUUUCUGAAAAGACAAAAUCAGCUUUUACUAUAUAACCAAAGGUCCUAGACCCUUGGGGUCUUCAGUAAUGGCAUUGGAGAGUAAUGACCUUGACAAAGGUCAAAAGGUCAAAGGUCAAGGUCAUGUCCCAGAUAGCGAAUUUAGUGUUUUUAACCUUAUAUAAAGCAUUUUUAGUGUGUUUUGGAGCUUUUUAAGGUUGACCUUGACCUUUUCAAUACAUUCUACGUCUGUUGGAACGUGUAUUUUACAUUACAAAAGGAAAGACC